CUUUCAUUUAAUUAAAACCCAUAUAUAUAUAUAAUUUUCCGUUUUCGUCUCAAUGCCAAAAUAAUGGCAACCUUCUCCUAUCACCAAAAAUUCAUUUAUCUCUAGGGAGGGAUUAGUGACAGCACAGACCGAUCUAAUGAAAUAGUUUUUCAUUCACAAGGGGAAAAAAAUUACUACAAGCUAAACAUCUUCAGGGAAACAGAAGAGAAUUAUCUACAGCGUAAAAUGCCUGGAAGAAUCAACUUAUGGACUGUAGCUGCGAUUGGUAGGAUAAAAACUUUUAAGGGUUUCUCAGAGCUGCCAACCUCUUAUCAAGUUCACCAAUGCCCGAACUGCCAACAUCUUCUUUAUUCUUCCCUGCAAUUUUACCCUUUGGUGCCGUUGACAACUGUGAGGCAACAUCAACACCAAUUUCAUCUAGCACUUGAUUCGUCAACUCAUCAGUCUCCUCUUCAGCCUCAUCAUCAUCCAAAGCAUCAUCUAUGGCUUCUGACAUCAUUUCUGUAGUCAUAUCCAUCUGCGCUGACUGCUUCUGAAAUUCCCUUAUAGCCUUUGCUUGCUUUGCAGGAGCCAUUUGCUUAUUC
rnacentral:misc_RNA from 1 species